GCCAGUUGAUCAGUGAGUGCGGUAGUGAUCUCAUCUCGUACCGCGCCAGGUGUAAACUCUUCUCUUCUCUUCUCUCUUCUCUCUUCUCUUUUCUUCUCUCUUCUCUUCUCUUCUCUUUUCUCUUUUCUCCUCUCUUCUUUUCUCAUCUCUUCUCUGAUUUUCCUUCUUCCUUCUUCCUUCAUAUUCUAAUCCACGAAUAUUCUCUCAUUCUUUGUGCUUUUGCUUGAAAAGGAAGAAAGAAGCCUGGUUAAAGGACUUUAACGAUUUAUCUAUCGAAAAUGGUAUGGAUCAUCAUAGAUCUCAUAACCGAUCGAAACAUCUCAUGCAGAUUUUCUUCGCUCAUCCUUAAUCUUUCUACGUAUAUAUAAAGAAAGAAAAAAGAAAAAGAGAAGGACGAAGAAAAGAAUUCGAAUACAAUACGAAAAUAUUUUUUAUUUGCCUACGACGCGGAAGAGAAGCUGUCACUUAUUCCGAUGCAAAAUCGACGAGUCAUCGAUAAUGACAACAUAUGAAAAUAAUUUAUAUCGAAUAGAACUUAUCGAAACCGGUACAAACGAUACGAAAAUAUUAAAUAAAAUUCGCCUAUCGUAAAAUAA